rnacentral:rRNA from 1 species
CUAACACAUGCAAGUCGAACGGUGGCAGCAAUGUCAUAGUGGCUCACGGGUGCGUAGCACGUAACUAACCUGCCCAAGACUGGGGGAUAGCCCGCCGAAAGGCGGAUUAAUACCGCAUAAUAUCUUUUACUGGCAUCAGUGAUUGAUUAAACCUGAGGGGGUCUUGGAUGGGGUUGCGGGUCAUUAGCUAGUUGGUACGGUAACGGCGUACCAAGGCGACGAUGACUAAGGGAGCUGAGAGGCUGGUCCCCCACACGGGCACUGAGAUACGGGCCCGACUCCUACGGGAGGCAACAGUAGGGAAUAUUGGGCAAUGGGCGAGAGCCUGACCCAUCCAUGCCGCGUGCAGGAAGAAGGCUUUCUGAUUCGUAAACUGCUUUUGACAGGGAAGAAUAAGGUGUACGUGUACACUGAUGACGGUACCUACAGAAUAAGCACCGGCUAACUCCGUGCCAGCAGCCGCGGUAAU